GGUGGUAAUUUCAUCUAAAGCUAAAUAUAGGUUCGAGACCGAUAGCAAACAAGUACCAUGAGGGAAAGAUGAAAAGGACUUUGGAAAGAGAGUUAAAAGUGCCUGAAAUCGCUGAAGGGGAAGCGAAUGGAACCAGUGUUCCUUGGCGAGACUGUUGCACGCUAAGCUGAUCGCCGGCUGCUUUUCACCGCAAGGGGGGCUGUUGGUUUUGAUGUGGAUGUGUGCGGUGUUUCUCGCCUUGAUUGUCAACGUCGAUUCGGAUUUGAGGAAAACUCAAGGGACAUGGUAGUUCGCCCAUGGGUGACCGAACGUGCCUUGCAGAACUCAAGUCUGGAUUGAAGCUUUCGCGUCUGGUUGCAUCGAAGCGGUGCCUGCUCCCUAAGAUUCUGCUCAUCCUGGGGAACACUCGCAGGAUGAUUUGAUUGGGGGGGGG
rnacentral:rRNA from 1 species